rnacentral:rRNA from 1 species
GACGAACGCUGGCGGCGUGCUUAACACAUGCAAGUCGAACGGAAAAGCCCUGCUUGCAGGGUACUCGAGUGGCGAACGGGUGAGUAACACGUGGGUGAUCUGCCCUGCACUUCGGGAUAAGCCUGGGAAACUGGGUCUAAUACCGGAUAGGAGCCAUUUUUAGUGUGAUGGUUGGAAAGUUUUUUCGGUGUAGGAUGAGCUCGCGGCCUAUCAGCUUGUUGGUGGGGUAAUGGCCUACCAAGGCGGCGACGGGUAGCCGGCCUGAGAGGGUGGACGGCCACAUUGGGACUGAGAUACGGCCCAGACUCCUACGGGAGGCAGCAGUGGGGAAUAUUGCACAAUGGGCGCAAGCCUGAUGCAGCGACGCCGCGGGGGGGAUGACGGCCUUCGGGUUGGAAACUCCUUUCGCUAGGGACGAAGCUUUUUGUGACGGUACCUAGAUAAGAAGCACCGGCUAACUACGUG